rnacentral:rRNA from 1 species
GACGAACGCUGGCGGCGUGCUUAACACAUGCAAGUCGAACGGUGAAGCGCCUUCCUUUUUGGUGGGUGUGGAUGAGUGGCGAACGGGUGAGUAACACGUGAGUAACCUGCCCCCUUCUUCUGGAUAACCGCAUGAAAGUGUGGCUAAUACGGGAUAUUCUGGGUCUGUCGCAUGAUGGGUCUGGGAAAGAUAUUGUUUCGGUGGGGGAUGGGCUCGCGGCCUAUCAGCUUGUUGGUGGGGUGAUGGCCUACCAAGGCGGUGACGGGUAGCCGGCCUGAGAGGGUGGACGGUCACACUGGGACUGAGACACGGCCCAGACUCCUACGGGAGGCAGCAGUGGGGAAUAUUGCACAAUGGGCGCAAGCCUGAUGCAGCGACGCAGCGUGAGGGAUGGAGGCCUUCGGGUUGUGAACCUCUUUCGCCAGUGAAGCAGGCCUGCCUCGUUUGUGGGUGGGUUGACGGUAGCUGGAUAAGAAGCGCCGGCUAACUACGUG